rnacentral:rRNA from 1 species
UCUGCUCAGGAUGAACGCUGGCGGCGUGCCUAAUACAUGCAAGUCGAACGCACAGCGAAAGGUGCUUGCACCUUUCAAGUGAGUGGCGAACGGGUGAGUAACACGUGGACAACCUGCCUCAAGGCUGGGGAUAACAUUUGGAAACAGAUGCUAAUACCGAAUAAAACUUAGUGUCGCAUGACAUAAAGUUAAAAGGCGCUUCGGCGUCACCUAGAGAUGGAUCCGCGGUGCAUUAGUUAGUUGGUGGGGUAAAGGCCUACCAAGACAAUGAUGCAUAGCCGAGUUGAGAGACUGAUCGGCCACAUUGGGACUGAGACACGGCCCAAACUCCUACGGGAGGCUGCAGUAGGGAAUCUUCCACAAUGGGCGAAAGCCUGAUGGAGCAACGCCGCGUGUGUGAUGAAGGCUUUCGGGUCGUAAAGCACUGUUGUAUGGGAAGAACAGCUAGAAUAGGAAAUGAUUUUAGUUUGACGGUACCAUACCAGAAAGGGACGGCUAAAUACGUGCCAGCAGCCGCGGUAAUACGUAUGUCCCGAGCGUUAUCCGGAUUUAUUGGGCGUAAAGCGAGCGCAGACGGUUUAUUAAGUCUGAUGUGAAAGCCCGGAGCUCAACUCCGGAAUGGCAUUGGAAACUGGUUAACUUGAGUGCAGUAGAGGUAAGUGGAACUCCCAUGUGUAGCGGUGGAAUGCGUAGAUAUAUGGAAGAACACCAGUGGCGAAGGCGGCUUAUCUGGACUGCAACUGACG